UAGGGAAUCUUCCGCAAUGGGCGAAAGCUUGACGGAGCAACGCCGCGUGAGUGAUGAAGGUCUUCGGAUCGUAAAACUCUGCUAUUAGGGAAGAACAAAUGUGUAAGUAACUAUGCACGUCUUGACGGUACCUAAUCAGAAAGCCACGGCUAACUACGUGCCAGCAGCCGCGGUAAUACGUAGGUCCCGAGCGUUGUCCGGAUUUAUUGGGCGUAAAGCGAGCGCAGGCGGUCAAUUAAGUCUGAUGUGAAAGCCCCCGGCUCAACCGGGGAGGGUCAUUGGAAACUGGUUGACUUGAGUGCAGAAGAGGAGAGUGGAAUUCCAUGUGUAGCGGUGAAAUGCGUAGAUAUAUGGAGGAACACCAGUGGCGAAGGCGACUCUCUGGUCUGUAACUGACGCUGAGGCUCGAAAGCGUGGGUAGCAAACAGG
rnacentral:rRNA from 1 species